rnacentral:rRNA from 1 species
UAACACAUGCAAGUCGAACGAUGAAGUCUAGCUUGCUAGACGGAUUAGUGGCGGACGGGUGAGUAAUGUAUAGGGAUCUGCCUAGUAGUGGGGGACAACAGCCGGAAACGGCUGCUAAUACCGCAUACGCUCUACGGAGGAAAGCGGGGGCUCUUCGGACCUCGUGCUAUUAGAUGAACCUAUAUCAGAUUAGCUAGUUGGUGGGGUAACGGCCUACCAAGACUGCGAUCUAUAGCUGGUUUGAGAGGAUGAUCAGCCACAUUGGGACUGAGACACGGCCCAGACUCCUACGGGAGGCAGCAGUGGGGAAUAUUGGACAAUGGGCGCAAGCCUGAUCCAGCAAUACCGCGUGUGUGAAGAAGGCCUUCGGGUUGUAAAGCACUUUUAUGUAGGAAGAAGGUAUGUACGUUAAUAGCGUGCUUGCUUGACGGUACUACAAGAAUAUGCACCGGCUAACUCCGUGCCAGCAGCCGCGGUAAUAAGGGCGAAUUC